UACGGGGGGAGCAAGCGUUGUUCGGAUUUCCUGGGCGUAAAGGGCGCGUAGGCGGCCACCGCAAGUCGACUGUGAAAUCUCCGGGCUUAACCCGGAAAGGUCAGCCGAUACUGCGGGGCUAGAGUGCAGAAGGGGCAACUGGAAUUCUCGGUGUAGCGGUGAAAUGCGUAGAUAUCGAGAGGAACACCUGCGGCGAAGGCGGGUUGCUGGGCUGACACUGACGCUGAGACGCGAAAGCGUGGGGAGCGAACAGG
rnacentral:rRNA from 1 species